GGAGGAGUGGCAGAGUGGUCUAUUGCGGCGGUCUUGAAAACCGUUGUGCCCUCGCGGGCACCGUGGGUUCAAAUCCUACCUCCUCCG
rnacentral:tRNA from 1 species